UGGAUCCAGACUUUGAUCAUGGCUCAGGACGAACGCUGGCGGCGUGCCUAAUACAUGCAAGUAGAACGCACAGUUUAUACCGUAGCUUGCUACACCAUAGACUGUGAGUUGCGAACGGGUGAGUAACGCGUAGGUAACCUGCCUGGUAGCGGGGGAUAACUAUUGGAAACGAUAGCUAAUACCGCAUAAUAUUGAUUAUUGCAUGAUAAUUAAUUGAAAGAUGCAACUGCAUCACUACCAGAUGGACCUGCGUUGUAUUAGCUAGUAGGUGAGGUAACGGCUCACCUAGGCGACGAUACAUAGCCGACCUGAGAGGGUGAUCGGCCACACUGGGACUGAGACACGGCCCAGACUCCUACGGGAGGCAGCAGUAGGGAAUCUUCGGCAAUGGACGAAAGUCUGACCGAGCAACGCCGCGUGAGUGAAGAAGGUUUUCGGAUCGUAAAGCUCUGUUGUAAGAGAAGAACGGGUGUGAGAGUGGAAAGUUCACACUGUGACGGUAUCUUACCAGAAAGGGACGGCUAACUACGUGCCAGCAGCCGCGGUAAUACGUAGGUCCCGAGCGUUGUCCGGAUUUAUUGGGCGUAAAGCGAGCGCAGGCGGUUAGAUAAGUCUGAAGUUAAAGGCUGUGGCUUAACCAUAGUACGCUUUGGAAACUGUUUAACUUGAGUGCAGAAGGGGAGAGUGGAAUUCCAUGUGUAGCGGUGAAAUGCGUAGAUAUAUGGAGGAACACCGGUGGCGAAAGCGGCUCUCUGGUCUGUAACUGACGCUGAGGCUCGAAAGCGUGGGGAGCGAACAGGAUUAGAUACCCUGGUAGUCCACGCCGUAAACGAUGAGUGCUAGGUGUUAGGCCCUUUCCGGGGCUUAGUGCCGCAGCUAACGCAUUAAGCACUCCGCCUGGGGAGUACGACCGCAAGGUUGCAACUCAAAUGAAUUGACGGA
rnacentral:rRNA from 1 species